GCCUGGCGCUCAAUAACUCCAGAAGCCGAGCUCCUGAAAGUCCAGUGAGACAGAGCAGCAUGUGGAUGGAUGGACAGUGAGAGCAGCGUGUGUUUGGGGAAGGAUAGAUAGUGAGAGAGUGACGGGCUUCUCCCUGUGGACUUGCUCACUGGUGACCAACAUUUUGGAUUUAAAGCCAUUUUGGCUGGGAGACGAUGCCAGCGACUGCUGCUUGUGGCUCGUGGAUUUCAGGUCUCUUCACUCACAGGUACAAAGUGCUCUGCCUGAACCAGUUGACACGCCGUGCCACCCACUGCAGCCUGGAGAUCGGGUCUACAUUAAGGUACACGAGAGAAAGACUUCCCUGGAGCCUCGCUGGAGAGGCCCCUACCAGGUCCUGUUGACCACCCACACAGCGGUCAAAUGCAAGGGGCUCGUCAGCUGGAUCCACGCCUCCCACUGCAAACAGACAACGCCACCUUUGAACCCGAACGCUAAAGAAUUCCAUCCGGCAGACUCCGCUCUAGGAAGUGACCAGGGUGAUAGCAACUGUGACUUCUCUCCAGGGCCCGAGAAGGAACCUAGAUAUAAUCUCAGGGAAUGAAAAUAGACCUCAGCACCCCGAUCUAUCAGUCCGUGGGCAAUCGGAGCCACCUUAAUCUCCUGUACGCUGCCUUUACAGCCAGCUGAAGCUUCGGCCUGCUGGAAAAUGGAAUACAAGAGACACAAGGCCAGAAUAAUGCCUUUAAAAGCCCAGUGGAGAGCCUAGCGCCCACUGGCACCCAGCUGCCAUGGCCGACCCCACAGACAGAAUAAAAGAAACAGCCAUGGUGCGAAAAUGGCUCAUGCCCUCAAUUUGGUUCAUGUGUGUAGCUAUGCUCUUGCUGUUAUUGUUAAACUUCCAUGAUACCUUUAUGUUCUUUUGGAUGCCCAAGACCACCAUCAAAGGAAAAGAUCCCUUGAGACCACUGGACCAGGAUCUGGGUAGUGUGCUAGCAACCUCUCCCCGGUAUAAUACUAAAGCACGACCGUUCCAAGAGAGACGAAGGAACACUCACGCUGCUGAAGUCCCCAAAGUCCAGAAAUUCCUAACAACAAGGGACAUUGAAAAUUGGCCCUGGUGGAAGAAACGAAGUAUUAUACAUUGGCAGGGAGGGAGUUGCGGGAUGUAUUCUUGGGAAUGUGGAGUUAAGUGGUGGGGUGGGUUUAUUCCGGGGGCUGCAAACUGUGUUUAAGGACAAGUACCAUCAGCAUGUACUGCCCUCCCUAAUUGGCUUCCGGAGGAUGAAUACUAAAAAUGCCUUGCUGCCACAAAUAUUAACCCCACCGUCCCCGCCACCUCUGCCACCAUCCCUGAAAUUGACCCAAAUACAGAUAAUACGGUAUAUUCUACGGAAAUCCAUUGGCCCAGAUUUUUCCAGUAAUUUACUAAAAUUUUGUUCAGAAAAAUUAUUUUUCAAAGUCCAAAAUAAAGCAUAUGAAUGAACAAUUGAAUGGAAAACAAAUGGUUGGUGGAAAUAGAAAUAUAUGAUAUCACUACACAUAAGCCCCAGGAAUCAGAAAUUAAAAUCGAGGGGUUCUAGGAAGGGGUAGAUAUGAUGGCCGUUCCUGGAACUUGCAGAAUGCUGGAUGAAAGAGGCCUUUAUUGCUAUUUUGUCACGCAAUUAGUAAAUAAUCAAACGUCUACCCAAAGGGUUUGUUCUGCUGUGGGAGAUUUUACCAUUAUUAAAAUAAUUCCAGUAACUAAUAACUUAACCUGUACAAUAUUGCAAUAUUCCCUUCCUAUGCUAUUAAUGUCAAUGCAUCUCAAAAGUACAUAAAAGUGUAUAGCCAACAGAUAUGGUCUAGUACUUCACCAAAAAGGGAUGUGUUAGGAUAUUGUAAGGGAAAAUCCAGUGGCAUCCAAACCUUAUAGGCCCAAGCCUCAUGUCAAGCUGCCAAGGUCAGCUCACUUAAAUGAACAAAAGGGGGGCACAGAGGAGGCAGUGGAAAAUACCCAACAGUCCCCUAGCAAAAGCAAUUUUGCAAUAUCCCUUACAGUCGCUGUUUAAAUACAAAAGGACAGACAGUAAAUAACAGGAAAGGCUUAAUAUGGGAAGAAUUUAAGUUUGCUCCAAUCUGUAUCGAUUUUGCAAUAUUUUUAGUAAGGAAAUAACAAGGAAAUGUAUGCAACCUUGUGUAACUAGUUUGUGGUUUUAAGCUUUAUAAGCCUGUCUGUAACCAGCUUCGGGGAGGCCGUUUCCAGUAGCGGUCCUUCCCUGCGCGCUUGUAAUCAAUAAAGAGCCUCAGGCUGAUCUGAUUGAAAAACACAACGCGUGGAUCGAUUUUUCCACAACAUUUG